rnacentral:lncRNA from 1 species
AGCCCUGGGCAAUUCACCUUUUCUUUAAAUACUCAUGUCACAUUUGUGCUGUUGCCAAUGCUUCUCAGACCCUCCAGAUGAGGACAUUUCCCUGAGGAGGUGGCUAUGAUGGUAGAACUUACAAGACUUCAGUGGACAUAAGGAAGCAAGGAGGCUCUGCAAAGUAGUCUGCAGUGAAAGUGCAGAGAAAGCUGAAGAUGGGGCCCAGGACUUAAUCAUCAGAGCAGCAGAGCACCUAAAGUUAAACUUCCAGCCAUGCAGGCUUGAAAUGCCAAGGAGACGGGGUCAAGGUGGCAGGCAAGAUGGUCAAAUAGAAGUAGCUUCAGUCUGCAGCUCCCAGUGAGAUCAACACAGAAGGAAACAAUGCCAAGAAUACGUUAAUCUAAACCCAUGAUGUUUCUACAUCUCAAAGAACAGAGAGAAAAGGAAACUGGAGAGAGGCCAGAAGUGACCAACUCUAUUCCCUCAUUUCUGUGUUAUACUCCCUUUGUCUAAUCUUCCCUACCCUACCAGGUGGUUUAAGAAUUUUAUCCUUUCUCCAGACUAGAAGAGGAAGUGGGGGCCGGAAUUAGGUGUAUACAAAUUGUUGGAAAGCCUUUGUGUGGAUUUGGAGGGCUGAAGUAGAGUAUCAUUUUUACAAAGCAGCCCAAGCCUCUAAUCUGAGCAGGAAGAUUCACACUCAUUCUCUGGCAUGAGUCCUAUCAGGAGGAUCAAUGAAGCCAAGGCUGUAGAAAUAAAUAAUUAAUCUCUCCACCCAAGGAGGCUAGUAAACAAUAUUCAAUACGUGAAUACUGAGUUCUGCCAAGAGGAAGAAGCAUAUAAACCAGGCAACUGCUGAACGCAUUGCCAAAAAGGGAGACUUACGCAUCAUUCACUAAAGCUUUCCAAAAACUAAAUCAGAUCCAAGAACAGAUAAACUCCUGCAGAAUGACAAUGGUGGAGAAAUUGACCUCCCAGCAUUGCAGACUUACAUCAGUUGUUCUGAUGUUCUUAGUUAUAUCAGAUUCCUUCCAGAAUCUUCUAAAUAUAUCAGACGGUCAGACACAACCCCAGGCCCUAAUAAAAAACCCUGAUGCUGG